AGUGAACGCUGGCGGUAGGCCUAACACAUGCAAGUCGAACGGCAGCACAGUAAGAGCUUGCUCUUACGGGUGGCGAGUGGCGGGCGGGUGAGGAAUACAUCGGAAUCUACUUUUUCGUGGGGGAUAACGUAGGGAAACUUACGCUAAUACCGCAUACGACCUACGGGUGAAAGCAGGGGAUCUUCGGACCUUGCGCGAUUGAAUGAGCCGAUGUCGGAUUAGCUAGUUGGCGGGGUAAGGCCCACCAAGGCGACGAUCCGUAGCUGGUCUGAGAGGAUGAUCAGCCACACUGGAACUGAGACACGGUCCAGACUCCUACGGGAGGCAGCAGUGGGGAAUAUUGGACAAUGGGCGCAAGCCUGAUCCAGCCAUACCGCGUGGGUGAAGAAGGCCUUCGGGUUGUAAAGCCCUUUUGUUGGGAAAGAAAAGCAGCAGGUUAAUACCCCGCUGUUCUGACGGUACCCAAAGAAUAAGCACCGGCUAACUUCGUG
rnacentral:rRNA from 1 species